UACGUAGGGGGCAAGCGUUGUUCGGAUUUACUGGGCGUAAAGGGCGCGUAGGCGGCCAGCACAAGUCAGUUGUGAAAUCUCCGAGCUUAACUCGGAACGGUCAACUGAUACUGUGCGGCUAGAGUGCAGAAGGGGCAACUGGAAUUCUUGGUGUAGCGGUGAAAUGCGUAGAUAUCAAGAGGAACACCUGCGGCGAAGGCGGGUUGCUGGGCUGACACUGACGCUGAGGCGCGAAAGCUAGGGGAGCGAACGGG
rnacentral:rRNA from 1 species